GGCCCGCGGAGAACCAGUGAGCGCAGCUGCGGCCGCUGAGCCGGGCUGCACGCGCACCCGUGGGCGUUGGGGCUUACCCCCGGCGCGGCGCGCGGCGCGACGAGGAGAAGCGGCUGGGGGCGUCGUCUCUUUUCCCGUGUUCGCCUGGGCCCUGCAUCUUUACGUUUUCUCGUCACCUCCCAACCAGCUUCUGGGCUUCGGAAGUAAAAUCGAAGUUGCUGGGUUGGCCAAGGCCGAGCGCACCGCGAACCCACCCGCUCGGUGCUAGCAAUGCUUGUGGCUCCCUAGUCCCUUUGGUUCGUGGUUCGUGGUGGACAGUUCCGCCCUCACCUCCCGGCCCCUUGAAUGGCACCUCCAUCAACUAGAGUGAGCAGAGACCGAAGAAAUAGGACAAGGGGAAUCGGCUUCGCUCCUAACUUGUGCUCUAAGCAGGUCAUUCCCUCUCUUGCCUGAGUUUCUGUUCAUUCAUUCAAUCAGUGACUAAACCCACGUGAGUAAGAGAGGCGAUGUUCUAGGACCAGGGCAGACGAGGUCCCUGCGCACAGAAAGCUUGCAUUCUUGAAAGGUGGAAGACAAUAACGGAAAAACAAGCAUAACAGCAUAAUUUCCUAUAUUGGUAAUUCAACGAGGAAAGAAAAUAGCGUCCUGGGCUACAAGCGGGGAACUUCUUUAAGUUGGUUGCUCCUGGAAGAUCUCAUUGUGGAGGUGACAUUUGGAGGUGAGGUUUAAUGGUAAGCUGGAAAAACUACGUAAAUGUCCAGGAGAGCCUUCCAGGCAGCAGAACAGCAAGUGCAAAGGUGAAGAGCACCUUGAGCUUAUUGAGCUCCGAGGAGAGUAGAAGUGAGCGUUUAUUGAUUGCCCGUUUCACGCGUCGCUCUCUAUCUGUGGGAAACAGGAGGAAAAAAGAAAAGAAAGCCCUGACCCCUCCUCUGUGAGAAGAACAUGCCCCAGGAAGCUGCUGGUCCCUACAGCCUGGGCCCCAGAAUAAGACAUGUUGGGCAGAGACACCCCACCACCUUUUGACCUGUGAACAGAUGAAUAAAUACUUAUGACCAAAAGCUAUGAAAAUUUCAGUGAUUUCCUGUAUCAGGAAAUAUUGGAAGUCAGCAAAAGUGAUUAUUUGGUGUCCUUUUGGCAGAGUGCUGUAAUCCCUACAGGGAUGCUCUGAUCUAUAGGUAUCUGUACCUUUGCUAUUUUGAAACUUUGCAGAGAUAAAAGUUAACUUGUAGAAAACUGACAGCAGUGCAAAUGAAUUUUGUGCUAUAGAGAUAUAGUUGACUUGUGUCCUGUAGAAAAGAUAACCCCAAACUUGACAUUUUAUGGCCUUUUGAAUAUUAACCUGUUAUGCAUCUUUUAGCAAAUUUAUUUCAGCAUUCCUGAUUGUCUGUGUAUCUCUCUGUGUUCUUCAAAAUCUCCUUUGAACUGGUCUCAACAUCUUCCUGAUUCUCUCAUUACUUCAUGAGUUGGAUAAAAAUCUUCACCACGUAUUCAUUUUAUAUAUGCAUGAGGGUUAUGCUUUUAACUUUAAAAUAAACUUUGGCACUUGUUACCAAGCAUUAGCUGACUGAUACACCGAGGUUCUAAUCUAGCCCGGGUCAUCAAUUCACUAAACAACUUGGAAAAGCUGCAUGGCCUGUCUGGGCCUCAGUGUCCUGAUCUGUAAAGUAAGGGUUUAGGACAGGUAGUUCCUUUAUUCAGUCCUAAAUAAAGUUGAUCCUCCCAAAACCUUGUGGGGUAGGGAGGGAGAGCUUUAUAAACCCAUUUUACAGGUGGAGAUGUUGAGAGGCAGAGAGAUUUAGUGAUUUCCCCCAAGUCACAGGAUACCUCUGCCUCCCUGUUAAUUCACCACCUACUAGACCUUUCAUUCAAUGCUUAGGCUCCUGCUUAAAGAAAAGAGCAGUGUGUUGAGUCUCACAGCCUGAACUUGAAUCCUGGCUUCAUGGAUUAGUAGCUGUUUAACCUUGGGCAAAUUGUUAAAUAUGUUGGAGCCUCAUUUUCCUAUGUGAAAUGGAGAUUAAAAUGCCUACUUUAUAAUGUGGCUAUAAAAUGACUAAAGACUAUCAUGUCCAAUAUAGUGCCUGGCACAUAGUAGGAGCUCUUAUACUUCCAUCCCUUUCAGCAAAGUCAGAGGAAUACCUGCUUUACAAUCAAAUCAACGCAAAGUUCAACUCCUGGCUCUGCCACCCGCUUGCUGUAACUUCGGGCAGCUUGUUCAAUCUCCCUGGGCCCUCAUUCUA